rnacentral:tRNA from 1 species
GGGGCUUUAGCUCAGUGGUAGAGCGCUUGCCUAGCAAGUGCAAGGCCCUGGGUUCAGUCCCCAGCUCCG